rnacentral:rRNA from 1 species
GAUGAACGCUGGCGGCGUGCCUAACACAUGCAAGUCGAACGAACAGACGAGGCGCUUGCUCCUCUGACGUUAGCGGCGGACGGGUGAGUAACACGUGGAUAACCUACCUAUAAUACUGGGAUAAUUUCGGGAAACCGGAGCUAAUACCGGAUAAUCUAUUGAACCGCAUGGUUCAAUAGUGAAUGACGGCUUUGCGGGAUCUUAUAGCUGGUUCCGCGCUGGUUUAGUUAGUUGGUAAGGUAACGGCUUACCAGGGGAACGAUGCGUAACCGACCUGAGGGGGGGUUGGGCCACAGUGAAAGUGACACACGGCCCUGACACCUACGGGAGGCCGCGGCAGGUAAUCUUGCGCACUGGGCGAAAGCCUGCCGGAGCAACGCCGCGUGGGUGAUGAAGGGCCUCGGGUCGUAAGACUCUGUUAUUGGGGAAAAACGAAUGUGUCUGUAACGAUGCGCGUCUGAACGGAACCUAAUAAGAAGGCCACGCCAACUUACGU